rnacentral:misc_RNA from 1 species
AACACUGUUAACCUGCGGUACCUGCGGAGGGAUCAUUACCGAGUGUGGUCCCAUAAGGGGCGCCUCCCGUCCUUUGCAGGGCCUUUAGGGGCUUUUUGACUUUGCUUCGGCGGGCUUGCCCCGCCGGAACACCCUCAAGAAAAUCUUUAUGAACCGUUUGUCUGAGUUGCUUGCGAAUAAAAACAAAACUUUCAACAAUGGAUCU